rnacentral:rRNA from 1 species
AUGGCUACUUCUUACUUUAAAGGGGUUUAUACUAAGGAUCCAACCCUUUCCCCGAGUGAGGCCCUCGAUUGUAAUGAGGAGAAGGUUACGGAGGAUAUGAACACUAGCUUAUGUGCACCUUUUAUUGAAAAGCGGGUGUCUGAUGCUUUGUCUCAGAAUGGGCCAAUUAAGGCCCUAGGUACCGAUGGUUUUCUUUCUAGAUUCUAUCAGAAGAACUGGGAAGUGCGCAAAACUGAAAUUAUUGUUGUGGUGCUUGAGUUCUUUCAGUUGGGAGUGAUGCGAGACGGUGUUAAUGAUACAACCGUCUUGAUUCCUAAAGUUCAAUACCCAGAAGAACUAAAGGAUUUGAGACCCAUAAGUCUGUGUAAUGUGGUGUACAAGAUCAUAUCUAAGUGCUUGGUUAAUCAACUUCGGCCACUUCUUUCUAGUAUGAUCUCGGAGAAUCAAAGUCCUCUCAUACCCUGCCACCUAAUUUUGAAUAAUUAUAUUAUUGCGUCCGAGUGUAUCCACCGUAUCCAAUCCGUGGAAGGGGAUUCGACCCCCUAUUUUGCUUAUAAGCUGGAUCUCUCAAAGGCAUAUGACUGUGUUGAUUGGGAAUUCUUGGAGAAGCUGUUGGUGAAGUGGGGCUUCUCGCACACAUGGAUUUGUCGUGUUAUGGCACAUGUCACACCGGUGAAAUAUUCAAUCAAGCUAAAUGUAAAACUAUUGGAUUUUUUCACCCCUCUGAGGGGUCUUCGCCAAGGUGACCCGUUGUCCUCCUUUCUAUUACUUUUCGUUGCUGACCCAUUAUCUACAUUGUUGCAUAAAUCUAUUGCGGCAGAAGGUUUGACUGGGGUGAUGAUUUGUUGUAGAGCUCAUAUGAUUUCACAUUUAUUGUUUACAGAUGGUUCCUUAUUGUUUUUCAUGCUUUUGGACAACGCAGAGAUGGUAAAAGGUGUGUUGAACACUUAUACUUCCUCGACGGGUCGACUUAUCAACCCUUCAAAGUGUUCCAUCCUUUUCUCUGGGAAUUGUUCAAAAGUGGUGAUGGUUCAGAUUAAGGAUAUUAUGGAGAUUACACAACAAGUUCUUGAUCCCAAAUACUUGGGCAUGCCUCUACUGGAUGAGAGAAUGCAUAAAGGUAGAUUUGAAACGAUACAAGCAAGCAUGAGCAGAAGGUUAGUUGACUGGAGUGAGCAAUAUACGUCAUCUAGGAAGAACGAUAUAUUUAUUAAAUCAGGAACCCAAGGAAUUCUAACCUAUGUCAUGAGUGUGUUCCAGUUUCCCAUCUCGGUUUCUGAUGGUUUAACUCGUAUGAUGCGACAAUGUUGGUGGAAUGUAGAGGAGGGGAAGAGGAAGAUGUCCUAGUUAAGUUGGGAUAAGAUGAGUUUACCAAAAUCAAAAGGAGUCUUGGGGUUUCGAGACAUGCGGUCUUUUAACCAAGCCCUCCUUGUGAAACAAGGAUGGGGUCUUAUUGAUACCCCUAACAGUCUAUGUGCUUGUUUGUUGAAUGCAAAAUAGUACCCUAAUGACAAUUUGUUGGACACUGUUUUCACUGGCAAUUCUUCUGAAGUUUGGAAAUGUGUGGUAUAUAGUUUAGAGAUUCUGAAGAAGGGGAAUACCUGGAGGGUAGGGGACAACACAUACAUUAGGGCAUGA